UUAUUGUUACUGUAGCUAUUAAGAAGCAGGCACUGAUGCUCGCUGACAGUGUGGAAAGGGUAGAACAACUGGCCAGACAGCUCAACGCCAAACAGCUAAUAGACGUCAGUCAUCUAGACAGUGGAAACACGCUUACAAGUCGAAAAUUGUCGUUUGACGACAUUGCAGAUGAGGGGGUUGAUGAUCUACUACUUCCCUGUUAUAGUCUAGACUCUGUGGUAGGAGUGAUUUUUUACAAGACAUCUACAUUAAUGGUAUAUUAAUACUCAUAGCAAACUGCUGAUGACCCGGACCCCACUGAUCGUGAUGGUGGUAGUUUUAAUCAUCCCACAUAUUCGUGAGUAAUACGAAUACAAAGCAUGUGAUUUAUACCACAAUGCCUGGUACAGUGCUAGUGGUUGGUUGACAAGUCGUCGAAAGACAUCUAUUAGUAAGAAGAUAUAUACCAAGGUACGUUACCGUUUAUAGUAAUAAGCAUAUAAAUACCCAUUAACCUACACAUAGAAAUCAACAAUCAGCACACCUUCCAAGAUUGCAGAAAGGAAGAGGCUCAAGCAUCCAAG